UACGGGGGGGGCAAGCGUUGUUCGGAAUUACUGGGCGUAAAGGGCUCGUAGGCGGCCAACUAAGUCAGACGUGAAAUCCCUCGGCUUAACCGGGGAACUGCGUCUGAUACUGGAUGGCUUGAGGUUGGGAGAGGGAUGCGGAAUUCCAGGUGUAGCGGUGAAAUGCGUAGAUAUCUGGAGGAAUACCGGUGGCGAAGGCGGCAUCCUGGACCGACAUUGACGCUGAAAACCGAAAGCUAGGGGAGACCAAA
rnacentral:rRNA from 1 species